rnacentral:rRNA from 1 species
UNUGGGGCACCUGAAUGGAGCACGCCGCGUGCAGGAUGAAGGCCUUCGGGUUGUAAACUGCUUUUAUAAGUGAGGAAUAUGACGGUAACUUAUGAAUAAGGAUCGGCUAACUACGUGCCAGCAGCCGCGGUCAUACGUAGGAUCCGAGCGUUAUCCGGAGUGACUGGGCGUAAAGAGUUGCGUAGGUGGUUUGUAAAGCGAAUAGUGAAAUCUGGCGGCUCAACCGUACAGGCUAUUAUUCGAACUCACAAACUCGAGAAUGGUAGGGGUCACUGGAAUUUCUUGUGUAGGAGUGAAAUCCGUAGAUAUAAGAAGGAACACCAAUGGCGUAGGCAGGUGACUGGACCAUUUCUGACACUGAGGCACGAAAGCGUGGGGAGCGAACCGGAUUAGAUACCCGGGUAGUCCACGCCGUAAACGAUGGAUACUAGUUGUUGGGGGUAUCGACCCCCUCAGUAACGAAGCUAACGCGUUAAGUAUCCCGCCUGUGGAGUACGGUCGCAAGACUAAAACAUAAAGGAAUUGACGGGGACCCGCACAAGCGGUGGAUCGUGUUCUUUAAUUCGAUGCUAAACGAAGAACCUUACCAGGGUUUGACAUCCUUGGAAUUUCUGCGAAAGUAGAAAGUGCUUUAUUGAACCAAGUGACAGGUGAUGCAUGGCCGUCGUCAGCUCGUGUCGUGAGAUGUUUGGUUAAGUCCAUCAACGAGCGCAACCCUUGUGAAUAGUUGAAUUUUUCUAUUCAGACUGCCCCGGUAACGGGGAGGAAGGAGGGGAUGAUGUCAGGUCAGUAUUUCCCUUACAUCCUGGGCUAGAAACACGAUACAAUGGCAAGUACAAUGCGCAGCGAAGCCGCGAGGUGGAGCAAAUCGCAUCAAAGCUUGUCCCAGUUCGG